rnacentral:misc_RNA from 1 species
UAUGAGAAGAUAACUUGAUCUUAUUUUUCUGUGAGCAUUGCUAACCACGUGGAGAGCGGGCAGAAGUAAAAGUUUGCUGAAAGUUGAAGAAAUAUGGCUUCAGAAAUGGCCCUUCUAAGUGUUUCGGACAAGCGCGGGCUUGUGAAGUUUGCCACUGUGCUCUCCUCUCUGAACCUCAAGUUGGUUGCAUCUGGUGGAACGGCAAAGGUCAUUCGUGAUGCUGGUCUGGAUGUUAGCGAUGUUUCCGACAUUACAGGAGCUCCAGAGAUGUUGGGAGGACGAGUGAAAACACUACACCCUGCUGUUCAUGGUGGUAUUCUUGCAAGGCUGACCGGUUCGGACCAGACUGAUAUGGAUAAGCAAGGUUUCAAGAUGAUUCGUGUAGUUGUCUGUAACCUGUAUCCAUUUGAGAAAACGAUCACAAAUCCUGACGUUACCAUGGAACAAGCUGUUGAACAGAUCGAUAUAGGUGGAGUGACUUUGCUGAGAGCUGCAGCAAAAAAUCAUGAACGCGUAACAGUCGUGUGUAACCCUGACGAUUACGACAGUAUUGCAGAUGAAAUGAGUAAAUCAGAAAAGAAAGACACGUCCAAAGCAACAAGACAGAUGCUAGCUGUGAAGGCUUUCAACCACACCGCUGAUUAUGACGCGGCGAUAUCGGAUUACUUCCGACGUCAGUACAGCAAGGGUGUGUCACACCUCCCUCUGAGAUACGGUGCGAACCCGCACCAAAAACCGGCCCAGUUGUACACGACUCGCCCGCAACUCCCAGUCAAAGUUUUGAAUGGCUCUCCUGGUUUCAUCAACCUUUGCGACUCUCUCAACGGCUGGCAGCUGGUUCGAGAACUGCGGUCUGCUCUUGGACUCCCGGCGGCUACGUCCUUCAAACACGUCAGCCCAGCAGGAGCUGCUGUCGGCAUACCAAUGAAUGCAGCCCAGUCUCGACUUUGUAUGGUCGACGAUAUGACAGAGUUGUCUCCUUUGGCUAUUGCAUAUGCUAGAGCUAGAGGUGCUGACAGAAUGUCGUCAUUCGGUGACUUUAUUUCUCUCUCGGAUAAAUGUGAUGUUUCUACAGCAAAAAUAAUAUCAAGAGAGGUUUCAGAUGGAGUUAUUGCCCCUGGGUAUGAAGACGCAGCCUUUGAAAUCCUUAAAAAGAAGAAAGGUGGAAAUUAUUGCAUAUUACAGAUGGAUCCGGAAUAUGAGCCAUCUCCGCAAGAGACCCGCACGUUGUUUGGUCUACAGCUACAACAGGAAAGAAACAACGCAGUGAUCAGCGAAAAACUCUUCACAAACAUCACCUCGCAGAGAAAAGAGUUGCCAGAGUCUGCGAUUCAAGAUUUGACUGUGGCUACGAUUGCUUUGAAGUACACUCAGUCGAACUCGGUCUGUUACGCCAAGGAUGGACAGGUGAUUGGUAUUGGAGCUGGACAGCAGUCUAGAAUCCACUGCACCCGAUUGGCUGGUGACAAAGCUAACAACUGGAAGACUGAGCUCAAUAUACAUCAGCCUUGGUGGAAUUUUCACAUAUUAAUGGUGGUUUUUACAGUCAACAAUUGAGUUUUACUGGCAACGCCGAACGGAGAUGGUGGUUGCGCCAGCAUCCUAAAGUGCUUGGCAUGAAGUUCAAGAAAGGUGUGAAAAGAGCUGAAAUGUCAAACGCAAUAGACGUUUAUGUCCUAGGGACUGUGGGACAGGACAUGGAUGUCAAAGUCUGGACUAACAUGCUA